GGGCGGGCCGCGUGAGUGAUGGCCGGAGGGCGGGGCCGGACGCCCGGGCAGUGGUCACGUGAUGUGGGGGCGCAGGGGGCGAGGGAAAGGUCGUCCCUCUGCGCAAGGUCUCAGUGCGCUGUCUCCGUGCAGAUUAGGGCAUGUGGAGUUAGCUCCGACUUGUGGACUGUGAAAGCGCGUAGUUCCAUUACCUGCCUGCGGAGCAAGGCUGUUUGGGACGUUGAAAGACGGUACUAACGCAGUGUUCUCUUCGGGUGCUGAAUUUGGAACACAGUCUUACUCUGAGAUGUGACCGGGCAGCUCUGGUAAUACUUUUAUAGCAAGUACCAGUCAAUAGCUAGAUUGAAUACAUGUUGCUUGUUAGAUCUUGGGUACUCAGGUGCUUCUGCCUUUUGAUUCAGCAAAUAUUCCUGAGUCGCAUGCACUGUGCAGCCUGCAGUAUACCCGGGCAUACACAGGAAGCCUGGUAAAUAGAGGGUUUGGAGAAUGAGAUCCUGGUAGGAUAGAAGUGCAGCAGGGGGGUAAGAUGGGAGACCAUGAGGAAAGGUGGCAUUUCUCCUGGAAGCGCUAGAGGUAAGGGGGAAAGGGAGGAGGUUCUGUGGAGUGGUGCUGGGGAGGAAUUCCAGUUCUGUUUUGAUAAGGAAAGAACUAAUCAGUGAAGUGUUUUUUUAAUGCCCGGCCGGGGGCGGGCGGGGUGGGGCUAGGCCAAUGACUAUCCCCAACCUCCUACAAGAGGAGCUUAGUGUUUUAGGCCCCUUGGAGCCUACAGGAUUGUAGUUAGAUUUCGUUACAUCACUUGUCUCUCUGCUGUUGAAAUGCAAUCACACUGACAUUAAGAGAAUGGUUAUUUCCCCAGGCCCCACGGUGCACAGAGGAAACUGGGAUUAGGCGACGGUAGUGUGGUAUGUCUCUCGGCUUCAUCUUUAACUAGCUGGUUGAUCUGGUAUAGGGCAUUUUUCUCCUGCUCUUCCUCCUACAGAUGUGGUGCAGAUUAAACACCACUACUAAUUAUUAAUGGAUAAUUUUUUUUUUGCUUUUUUUUUUAGGGCCUUACCUGUGGCAUAUGGAAGUUCCCAGGCUAGGGGUCAAAUUAGACCUGCAGCUGCCAGCCUAGGCUGCAGCCACAGCAAUGCUGGAUCCCAGCCAUGUCUGUGACCACAGCUCAAGGCAAGAAUGGAUCCUUAACCCACUGUGCCAGGCCAGGGGUAGAACCCGCAUCUUCUUGCCACUGAGCACAACAGGAACUCCCGUUAAUGGAUAUUUAGAGAUGCCAUAAAAUUGUGUAAACACUCUGUAUGGUACAAUGUCAUUAUGCAUUUGUCCAAAUCAGUAGAAUGUGCUAUACCAGGAAUGAAUCUGAAUGUAAACAGUGGACUUGGGUGAUAAUGAUGUGUCCAUGUAGAGAUUCAUAGAUUGUAACACAUGUCCCACUCUGGUGCCGGAUGUGGACGGUGGUGGAGAUUGGUGCACUGCAGGGCAUAAGGAAACUCUACUUUCUGCCUAAUUCUGCUGUGAACGUAAAACUGCCCUAAAAGAAUUCAUUAAUAAAAAUGUAAAAAAGAUGCUAUAUAUCAUUUUUUAUCAGUUACUGAAAAAAAUGUUAUGUAGUUGUGCAGCACUUUACUGGGUUUCAGAACCUUUGAGUACAUUAUCUCAUGGGAGCCUCACAACUUUGAGCCACACAGAGCAGUAGCAUUGGCAUAACUAUUUUAUAAAUGAUGCUUAGGAGUUCCCUGGUGGCCUAGUGGUUAAGGAUUUGGUGUUGUCACUGAUGAGGUUCAAGUUCAAUCCCUGGACUGCUGUGGGCAUGGCCAAAAAAAUCCCAUCCCCACUUCAUAAAUGAUGCUUAAACUCAAGCCUUUCAGUAUAGUGCUGAAUUGGACAGUUUUAAAAAUCUACUACUGGAGUUCCCGUCAUGGUGCAUUGGUUAACAAAUCCGAUUAGGAACCAUGAGGUUGUGGGUUCGGUCCCUGCCCUUGCUCAGUGGGUUAACUAUCCGGCAUUGCCGUGAGCUGUGGUGUAGGUUGCAGACGCGGCUUGGAUUCCACGUUGCUGUGGCUCUGGCGUAGGCCGGAGGCUACAGCUCUGAUUGGACCCCUAGCCUGGGAACCUCCAUGUGCCUCGGGAGCGGCCCUAGAAAUGGCAAAAAAAAAGACAAAAAAAAAAAAAAAAAUCUACUACUAAAUGUUUGAAUUGAGGAUCCUGUGCAUGUUUAAAUAGCUUUUUUUCCUCUACUUUAAUACUCAAUACUCAGUUUUUAACUUAUUAGCUGUUUUUGCAUGUACGUGCUAAAUCACAUAAUGUUUGUCAGUGGAUUAGGCAUGUCUAAUGUUAUUUGAAACUGGUGCAGGUCCCUGAAAAAAACUGGCAUGUUAGAAGAAGAAAGUGUCUUCAUGAUAUAUUAAAAAAAAGUGUUCCUUUAUCUCAGAGCUGCAGCUGUUCAGUGGUGUGGAAAUUAAGUAGGUGUGGGAACUGCUGAAGGAGUUUGUAAGCUGUAACCACGUCUAGAUUUCCCCUAAUAGUUUUAAAAACUUGCAACAGGGAAAUGUUCAACACUGCACUUCAGGAUUGAAUUUCAGGGUUCUGAAAACACAAACCGCCAGAAGUGUUUUCUCAGUUAAGACUGCAUUUGAUCCUCACAGCUGUGGAAGGGCGGGUAUGAUUUUCAUCUUCUAGGCAAGGAAAUUCAACUGCUAAGAGGGGGUACAGAUUGCCACAUUCUCAUCUGGAAACAAGGCAGGGCCAGAACCUUAAUGAAGCUUAGAAUUCCACUCACUGAAGAGAGAGUGGGCUACAUUCUUGACUGCUGCUGUCCAAACAAGCCUGCUUUCAAGAAAGAAAACAUACUGAACACAUCUCUGCAGUUUCAUAGAGGUCUGUUACAUUGUUUGCUUUUCAACAAUUUUUUUUUUUUUUUUUGCCUGAACACACUUAUGAACCCUAUUGACUUAGCUAUCCAGGAUCUUUUUCACUAGGGGAAUGAGUACGUAUAUAUACAUAUAUGAUUAAGACCAUUUGUGAAACACAUUUCAAGAUAAAAAAUAACCUGAAAUUACCUCAGAACAUUUUACCAACAUUUCUAAGUGUGUCCAGUGCUGCUACUGUCCACACCGAGCAAGAGAUUAAAAAGUGCAGACCGGGAAUAUAAAAAAUGGAUUUCAUAGUUUUGUUUGCUCCACAAAGAGGAAGGGAGAACCCUGGGAGUGGAGCAUCGUGGGGGCUUGUUAAGAGAGACAGGCCAGCUGCAUGUGAAAGAUAGCCACACCCUGGGCAUGGAGCAGAUUGUAGCUGUCUCCUAAACGGGGUGCUGAGGAGGGGCUGUACCAGCAUCAUGUAAAGGGUGUGAAGAACCAAGGGCAAUCCACUAUCCAGGUCUGCUGGCAAACCCUGGCCAAUGGCCCAGUGAUUCGGCAUGAGGAACUGAAAAUCAACCCCAAAACUCUCAAAUACACUGGGCAGAAUUUACUAUAGCAAUCAGAAUAAAAUGCAGGAAACUUUCAACAUUCUUAAAAGGAUGUAAUAAAAUGUGGUUUCUAUGAAAAGGAAGAUAAUAAGAAUAAACUAAAAGAAUGAGAGGGAAAGGAAGGUGGUGGGGGAGGUGAGUUCAAGAAAAAUGAAAAGUACAGUGACAACAUUCAGGUUAGAAACAGCAAACAGCAGAAUGACACUAAAGAUCAAGUCCGUCCCUUGGAGAUUAAACUUGACAAGUUGCUAACAGGAUGGAAAGAGAUGCUAGUGAGAGGAAUUUCAGAAAAGACAAAGUGUUUUUGAGAAAAUUAUGAAUAUAGAUAUUUUCUCAAAUUGAAAAAAAAAAAAAAAACACAAAAAAAACGGGUGAGGCGAGACAUUGGAUUCACUUCUGUUUCAGAUCAAAGUCUCUGAUACAAAAGUUAGGGGAAGACGUAAACACAGAAGCAUCCAAGCAGAAAAGCAAAAACUAUAAGGGAACAAAAAUCAGGCUGGCCCUCGUCUUCUAUCACAGUGCCAGAAGACAAGAGAAUGGCAUUAAAAGAAAGUGUGACAAGAACUCUCUGUCUAGUCAUGUGGACUUUCAUGCACGAAGGCAAGAGAAGAAAAGAGAAGCUGCAGAGGAAAGUCAAGCAGAAUAGUUUGAGCCCAGGUUGCAUAAUUCACAUGUUCAUUGAGUUUGUGUUCACUCAAAACUGAGUAAAGAAUGAUCCCAAGUUUUUCUAACACAAUUUCCCAGCUCUCUUUGGUGAUUCUUCUUCUUUAGCUGGAAAAUGCCAUCAAAUAAUUCUUCUAAAAGAAAGACACGGAAGGUGUGCAACUUUUGUUUUUUUCUGUCUUUUUAGGGCCGCACCCGUGGCAUAUGGAGGUUCCCAGGCUAGGGGCUGAAUCGGGAGAUACAGCUGCUGGCCUACACCACAGCUCACAGCAAUGCUGGAUCGAUCCUUAACCCAGUGAGCAAGGCCAAGGAUUGCUAGUCAGAUUCAUUUCUGCUGAACCACGACAGGAACUCCAGAGUGCUACUUUUCUGCAACCUCUCCUACCUGGGAAUGUCCAGCGAGCAGCCCCUGCAGCCCUCCCUUAUGUAUAUAUCCCCUCAUGUCUGUGCCUCUUAUUUGCACAUUCUCAGAGCUUGGUGUUUACUGGUGACCAUAAACACCAGAGCAUGUGAGUGCAAGUAAAGGGAGCACAGGAUAAAGAGGAGGAUGUGUACUGCCCUUCAUCCUGGACUCGUGAAAAUUUAGGACUCUCAUUGGAAAGUAAUGUGGAUAAAAUUACAGGUUGAUGUUUUGAUUUUAUUUCAAAAGGAUAAAUAAACUAAGGCAUAGUUCUGACCAUAUACUGCUUACGAGAAGGGCUUGCGAAUUAGAGAAACAGUUCCAUGAGGGCUCCAGUCAGACCAACAUGAACCAAUCCAGCUCGUGAUUGGCAGAGAGAUGAUAGCCUCUUUCUUCUUCAGGGAUUUAAAAAGUGCUCCACCUAAUUUCUGAAUAUCAUAGAAAGUAAAAAGUACUUUUAUUUCGUCAUUUUUCCUUUGAAAAUGUUUUUUUUUUUUUUUUAGCAGCAAACAGGAUUCUUGUUUUCCUUACUUCAUUUUUAUGACCAUAGUAAUUAUAUGUCAACUUACUUAAAAUUAGAGAGGGAGAAAACCAAAAGCCCCUUGGUGGCACUGCUCAUCCACAGAAGGCUCACAUAAAUAGGUACUCAUGUUACGUUAUCACUUCUACAAAGAGCAAUAAAAUAAGUCUGAAAAUCGUAAAUACAGUAGUAGCAGUUCACACAUAUUUGACACGCUUUCACACAAGGAUUCAGUCAACGACAAUAAAUAUAAUUUCCCCUCUUCAAAACAAACAAACAAAAAAAGAAUUUUUAAGGAAAAAAAAGAUCAAUUUACUUGGAGUUUAUCAGCACACUAUUUUUAGCGUGCUUUGAGAGAUUUAAAAACCAUGAAAUUGUAUUCACUGAAUACUGGCCCAUAGUUACAUUUUUUUUUUUUAAACCUGUCUUAAAUACAUACAUCAUGGCUUUCUAUUAAAAUCCUUAAACCUAUGGGAUUUGUAAUAGGUAAGACUCUAUUAAAAUUUUUUUUCCUCAUUAACAAUUUCAUUAAGUUAAAAAAAAUCUGACAUUUCCCUUAAAUGUUAAGUUGAAGCCUGAUCUAUGCUGCUGUGUCCUGUGAAAUGAACCCUAUUUUCAAAGUGAAUAGGAAUGCCUGAGUGGCAUUUAGAGUGCGGCAUUUUCCUUCCCUCAUGAUUCCUGCUGGGUCCUCUUCGCUGAGGCUUUUCCCUGAGUCAUAUAUUUACUGGAAAGGCUACCUAGAGGAGGGGAAAAAACAAAACCCAACAUAAAUGAAACAAGCCUCACUUUAUCGUAAAAACCGUAAGUUAUUUCUUAUUGUUAACAAUUUACAGAAACUUUUCAUACUGGAAUCGGUCAUUUGUUUUGAAUCAAGUAACUUGACUAGACAUAAAAAUAUAUAGAUGCAACAUUAUCUAUUAAACAUAAGCCUCGCCUCGUCACAUUCUUUCUAAAUGCAGGCAGGAGUUGCUAGAGUGACAUCAUUUUAUUACAUUUGCAUGCUCACUGUUUACAUAUUGGUUCAGAAGGUAGGUAAACUUUUAAAGGCUCUGCUUUACAUACACUUGCAACCAAAUAGAAUAGAUUGCAAAGAAUUCUUUGGUCAGAAAUAAGCAUUUGAAUCAUUACCCUGCAGACAUGAAGCUAUGAAUUGGUGACACUGUAGUUAAAGAUUUAAAAGAAAAAAGGAAACUUAUAUUUACAAGUGAAGGGCAAAAAUGAAGAGUGCUAAUUAAAAGCACACCACAGAAAGGGGAAUAAAUUUUGUUCUGGAGCCUAAACAAAUAGAUCAAUGAAACAAGGAAAUUGAGAAAUUCUUAAGGAAGUAGUAUAUAACAAAGGUUAUACACAAUGACUGUAUACAUUUCCAACCAAUGAGGAAAAGUAUGAACUGUGUGAUAAUUGGUAUUGUGUCAAAUAAGUAAGGAAAGGGUUAGAUAAGUUUGCUUCCUCCCCACCUAAUUCUAAAUGAAUUACAGAACUAAAUGUAAGAGAGUCAAAUUAUAAGAAGUUGUGAAUAUUUAUACAAUCUUGGGGUGGGGAAAGAGUUUCCUAAAUAUACCACAUUAUGCUUUAUUUAUAAAAAAGCCCCUUGCUAUGCUUAGUGCUAAGAAGUUACAAAUCAACACAGAAAAGAUGAAUACCAAUAGAUAACUAGGGAAAGAAAAAGCAAUACAUGAAAGAAAAAAAACAGCAUGUAAAUAUAUAAAAAAUAUUCGAUAUCAGUGGGUAAUCAAAGAAAUACAAAGUGAAGGAACAUACCAAUUUCUAAACACCAAAUUAUCUGAAGGAAAAUCAGAAAGACAGGGAGGUGGGUAGAAAUUUUGCUAAAGGAAUACUUGUAGAAACUUUAUAAUAAUUUAAAUACACGAAACAACUCAAAUGUCCAGAACUUGUGAUAUGACUACGUCUAUUAUGACCAAGAUACUAGGUAUGCAGAGAAGGAUAAUUACUAAUAUGAAAAAAACAGGUUAUAAAAUCACAUGAAUAGUUUCAUUAAAGCUUAAAACAACAACAACAACAACAAAACAACCCUGCAAAACUCCACCAAUCAGAUAUGUGGUGCCUCAUUUUCCUUAUCUGUAAAAUGAGGGCAAUACCUACCCCCUUGGAGUUGUUGUAAAGAUUAAACGAAUCACUACAUGUAAUGCAGCUGAACACUACCUGGCACAUAGAAACUACUUGACGACCACUAUUAUCGUUAUACUGAUAAUAAAACGAUGGGACGAUUUUACUUCUAAAACUAAGUAAUUGUCAAUUCUCUAGUGGAACAGAUAUAAAUGGCUUUUAUUUUCAUUUUGCUUAACUGUACUUUCUAAAAUUGUCAAAGCAAACAUAUUAAGUAUGUAAAUAUGAACGUACUCCCUGCCCCCUCUCCCCCCAGCAAGCUUUUCAAUGCAGAGCACCUAGUCAGUCAACUCAUACUGAAAAAUGAGAGUUAUCAGCUAGGAAGAAUCAAAGCACUCUAUUACUAUAGUAUAAAUACCACAUUUAUACCAUAGAGUAUCUACUGAUCACAAAUACACAUCUUUGAUAUUCCGAACUGCACACUCAACUGGAGGAACAAAAGUUUACAUAUACACAAUCCUGAUAUAUUAAAUAUCUAAAUAGGAAAAAUAAAGUUUUAAAGCUAUCAGGAGAAAAUACAGAUGGAUAUCUUUAUGAUCUCGGGUUAGGGGAGAAAUUUUUUUUUUUUGUCUUUUUGUCUUUUUGCCAUUUCUAGGGCCGCUCCUGCGGCAUAUAGAGGUUCCCAGGCCAGGGGUCCAAUCGGAGCUGUAGCAGCUGGCCUACGCCACAGCCACAGCCACACGGGAUCCGAGCUAUGUCUGCGACCUACACCACAGCUCACGGCAAUGCCAGAUUCUUAACCCACUGAGCAAGGCCAGGGAUCGAACCCACAACCUCGAGGUUCCUAGUCGGAUUUGUUAACCACUGCGCCAGGACGGGAACUCCCCCCCCCUUUUUUUGGGGGGGGGAGAAUUUCUUAAAGACAAUCCUAAAAUCAUGUAUUACUUGUCAAUGAACACUAAUCAGAUAACAUUGAUCUCUUGAUCAUCUCAAAAUUAAAAACCUGACGUAGCAAUAAAUAGGUAUAAGGUGAAAGACAAGAAAUACCCGAAGAAGAUAUUUAGAAUGUACACAAUAAAGGAGCAGCAUUCAGAAUAAAUGAAGAACCCUUAUGAAUUAAUACAACAAUGAUAAUGCAACAGGAAAAUGGGCAAAUGAUUUGAACACAGAAGAGGAACCUCAACUGGCCAGUAAACAUAUAUUUAUUUAUUUAUUUUUGUCUUUUUGCUAUUUCUUUGGGCCGCUCCCACGGCAUAUGGAGGUUCCCAGGCUAGGGGUCGAAUUGGAGCUAUAGCCACCGGCCUACGCCAGAGCCACAGCAACGCGGGAUCCGAGCCGCGUCUGCAACCUACACCACAGCUCACGGCAACGCCGGAUCGUUAACCCACUGAGCAAGGGCAGGGACCGAACCCACAACCUCAUGGUUCCAGUCGGAUUCAUUAACCACUGCGCCACGACGGGAACUCCUUUAUUUAUUUAUUUAUUUAUUUAUUUUUUGUUGGCCAGUAAACAUAUAAAAAGAUGCUUAGCAUCACCAGAGUCAAAACAUAUCCAUUAGAACAACAACAAAGUAUUUUUCACUCAUCAGAUUUGCAAGAAAAAACACUGCUGAUGGGAGUGGCAGCAGUUUCAACCCUGUAAGAGGGUAACUGACAGUAUCUAACUAAACUGAGGAUGCACAUAUGAAGAUGCACUAUAACUGAACAACUGGACUUCUAGGUACAUAAACCUUAGAGAACCUCUCAGACAUGCUUAAGGAGAUGCACAUAAGAACGUUCACUACAACACUGUUUACAAUAGCAAAUAAUCACAUGCAAUCUAAAUGCUCAUACACUAUUCUGUAUUCCUAUGAUGCAAUAGUGUAAAGAGACUAAAUCUGUGAACAAGAUAGAUUUCAAAAUCAUUUCAUUAAAUAGAUAUGAAAAAGCAGGUUGUAGAACGUUAUUAGGCAGUGUGAUACAUCAUUUAAAUUUAAAAAUUCACCAAGGAUAAGUAUUUUUAAGGAUACAUAUGUAAGGGCUUAAAAAAGAAUAGGAAGGAUACCUGAAAGCAUCAUAAUGGAUCCUGUGGGAUGGACGGGGACAUGAGAGACAGGAUGGGCCUGGCGGUGGUAGUCAAAGGGAACUUUGACCAUCUAAACCUUUUAUUAACAAAAGACUGAAAAGACAAUGUGAAAUAAUGCCAGUUCUCUAACAGAUGGGUAGUUGUUACAUUAUUUGUAUCUUUUUAUAUUUUUCCCCCAAAUGUUAAGAAAUCAUUCUUUUGUAAGAAUAGUACUUACAGUCCUAUGACUGUAGCUCUUAAACAUGUAAUCCUCUAUUAUAAAAAAAUAGAUCUCAUUAUACCUGAAGAGGCUGCAUAUAAAAAAUUCACAUGUAAAAAGAUAAAAUUGUUAGAAAUAAAAUAUGAACAUUUAUGUAAUGUGAGGGAAGAACAUGAAAUUCUUAAAAUCCUAUAAACGUGACUUGAAACUACCCUAAAGUUGGCUAGAUUAAACUACUAAAACAAACAAAUACAGGUACAGCAAAAUAAAUCCUAAGUGAGGCUGGUGGUGAAGGCUACUGUAUACAUUUGACAAAGCAUGAAUUAAUUUCUAAGUAGAAAGAACUCAAGACCAAAAUGAAUACUCAAAACACAAAGAUAUAAUAUGAAAAAAUAGAAAUGACAAUGUAGAAAAUGUCACAGCUCAAUGGUAAUAACAGAACCUCAAGAGGGUAAGCAAAAGACUAUCUCAAUGAAGUGAGGGUGCGGGAAAGACAGAUUGUCAACAAUGACAACUUGGUAAUAUUGGUAUCGCUGUCGAAAUAUACCUACUUUUUUUUUUUUUUUUUUUUUUGGCUUUUUUAGGGCUGCUUCUGGGGCAUAUGCAAGUUUCUAGGCUAGGUCCUGAAUCAGAUCUACAGCUGCCAGCCUACACCAUGGCCACAGCAACACAGGAUCUGAGCCACAUCUGUGACCUACACCACAGCUCACGGCUAUGCUGGCUCCUUAACCCACUGAGCCAGGUCAGGGGUUGAACCCCCAUCCUCAUGGAUACUAGUCGGGUUUGUUACCCCUGAGCCACAACGGGAGCUCCCAAAAUAAGCACAUUUUUAAACCUAUUAUUCUUCCAAGUGGGAAUCUAUCCUGAAGAAAUAACUAGACAAGUAUGCAAAUAGGCACUGGAGUGUUUAUAUGAACAGUGGUCUUCAACCCUGGGUGCAUGUACUCCUCAGCAGCUUCGCAGGACAAGUAGGUAAGGAAGGAGUUUUAAGGGAGGUGACCACAGUGCUUCAACUUCUGAGUUCUCUCUGAGAAUGACUUUGUGGCCCAGGCUUUGGGCUGUUUUUCACGAAUCACACCAGUUUUUCUUCCCUUUUUCACGAAAGAGAGGUUUAUCUUCCAACCAUCCACCUCUUACAUGUGGUACGUUGCCCUAUGGUGAAAAAACCUUGGGAGGCAAGGAGGCAAACAAAAUAUCGAUGCCUGUGACAAAAUGUGAAUGCCUCUAAUAAAACUCCAAAUUUUUAGCCUUCAUAAAAUUACAGACAGCUGAUGACCAUCACAAAUAACUUCUGAUGAUGCAUGACUACGUAAUUUUUGGUCAUUUAAUUAAAAAGGAAUGAACAUAACUGAGUGGCACUAUUGUAAUACAUCUUUCUCUUCCAGACUCUUAAAGGUAUUUCUAUUAUUUUUAAUUUGCUAUCAUAAAGACAAAUGAGGUUUCUCAAUGUUUAGCAAGUAAAAAACCAAAAAGAUUAGGAAUAGAAAUGAUUCAUUGUUUCAUUCCUGCAGUAAGUAGUACUGAUCCAAAGAUACACGAAUAUGUGAGGGGAAAAAAAUCUCAUCUAAUUAAAUGACAGUCAUUUUCAGUAAGUAAACAUAAAAAGUAAUUUUUAAUCAAAAUGUGUAACAUUUCUUUUGGCCAAUUAUGUUAUUAAUAACUCUAAAAACAAUUGGAAGAAAAUUUUACACUCAGAUUUAAUAAAAAGCUUAAAAAUCCAGUUUAUAUAAAUACUUCUGUUGCAGAUAAGAAGCACAGGCUGAUCAAGAAAAUGCUUGAAACAUAUAUGAUAAAAAUAUAUCACCUUAAGAUAAAAUUCCAUGGGAGUGAAACAAAGGAAUUCAAAGGAAAAAAAUGUCAAAUUUCUGCCAUAAUAUUUAUAUUUCAUCUGAUACAUUUAAGGCUGAUUUGAAAGUUUUGUUUUUAAAAGGCCAAUAUUUACAGAAAACCUCCACAAAUUACAUGCAACUACAAUGAGAAAUUGAGAUGUCAACUUAAACAUAUACAAGGGUGGUUCCCCCCAAAGAUUUUGGGGGAAAGCAUGCAAGCAAAAAACUUUUGAAACACUGACAUCAUAAAUAUUUUAGAAGAGCUAGCCCAUUAGUAAGGAAUGGUUAAAUAAAUAAGACAUAUUCAUAUAAUGGAAUAUCAAGAAGGGUAUGAAAAAAAAGAUGUACAUUCACUGAUAAUAAAUAAUAUUUCCCAUAUGAUUUUUAAAAAGUGCCUCUGUUGGGGGGAGGGAUCAAUUAGGAAUUCAAGAUUAACAUAUAUAGACUACUAUAUAUAAAAUACACAACCAACAAAGACCUACUGUAUAGCACAGGGAACUCUAAUCAAUAUUCUAUAACAACCCUAUAUGGGAAAAGAAUCUGAAAAAGAAUGAAUAUGUGUGGACAUAUAAUUGAAUCACUCUGUUGUAUACCUGAAACUAACAACAUGGUAAAGCAACUAUAUUCCAAUAAAAAAAAGUAAAUUAGAAUUAAAAUAUUUAGAAAAUACCAUUUUUUAAUUAUACCUUAAUACAACUUGAAUUUUACUAAAUACAUUAUUUUAUACCUUUGGGUAGGCUUGGCUAUAUUUGAAAAUCUUGUUCUAUUUCUUUGAAAUACAGCAUUUUAAUUAAGUUUGGCUUAUUUCAAUACAUGCUUUAAAAGACUGUCAGAACUAAAAAAGGAAAAAAAGUCAGCAAAACAAACAACCCCCCCCCAAAAAAAACCUUAAAAAGUGUGCCUCUAUUACUUAAAAUUUACUAUCAUAAAGACCACUAUGUUUUUGUUCUUUUUUAAAAAAUUUUCUCCCUUUUUUGGCCACACCCAUGGCAUAUGGAAGUUUCUGGGUCAGGGAUCAAAUCUGAGCAUAGGCUGUGAUCCUUAAUCCACUGCGCUGGCCAGGGAUUGAAACCAUGAUGCCACAGAGACAAUGCCGGGUCCUUAACCCACUGUGCCACAGUGGGAACUCAGAUUUUGUAGACAUAUAAUUGUUUUUUUAAAUAAGUAGGCUUUAACAUUCUGGUCAAGGAAAAAAGUUUAUACAUCAUCAUGUGGGAGAAAAGAUAUCCACGAAUCUCUUAUAACAUCUCCAGUUUUUAAGAUUUCAAAUCAUGGGAUUAAAAUGGAAUAAAUGAAGAGACAGAGGUAGUUUCUUUUGAAAAGUAAUUUUCUUUCCAAAAAAUGGUAGAGGAUUAAGAAAUAGAAAAUGUUAGUUUCUUGAGAUUUUCAUACUAAACAGUUCAUGACUCUGGUUCUCCAAUCUCCAUGAACUCUUUUUUUUUUUUUGUCUUUUUGCCUUUUCUAGGGCCGCUCCUGCAGCAUAUGGAGGUUCCCAGGCUAGGGGUCUAAUCGGAGCUGUAGCCGCCGGCCUACGCCACAGCCACAGCAACAUGGGAUCUGAGCUGCGUCUGUGACCUACACCACAGCUCAUGACAACGCUGGAUCCUUAACCCACUGAAGCAAGGCCAGGGAUAGAACCCGCAACCGCAUUGGUUCCUAGUCGGAUUCGUUAACCACUGAGCCACGAUAGGAACUCCUCCACAAACUCUUGUUAAAAAUUUCCAUUAUAUAUUUGUCCUAGAAGAGACAAUUACAGCAAGGUUGAGAAUUUCUGAAACAAGGGUAGUAAUAAUUUAUUGUGAGUGAUGUGUACCAGGUGCCAUGUCAAGGGCUUCACAAACAUGAAAUUAAUCCAACUGCCCCAUGAGAUAUUAGCGCCAAUUCACUGACGAGGAAACUGAGGCACAGAGAUGUCUGAUAAUGCAACAGAGGUAAUGCAGCUAGUAAAUGAUUGGGCUGGACUUUAAACUCAUAUAAGUCUGACUUCAAUGCCACUGCCACCCCCAGCAACCUCUGCUCUAAGAGGGUACCAUUCUAAGUGCUUGCACAUGGAUUUCUGAACAGCCCUACAGGGCAAGAAAUAGAAGCAGUAUUAUUAUCCCCUGUAACAGAUGAGGAAACUGAAGUAAGUGGAGGACUAGAUCACAAAGCCAGAAAUCACAUCAUGUAAUCUGAUGGCAAAGCUGAUAUUCAUAAACGACUUGUUGUUGUUGGCAAAACAAACAUCUCAACCAAGCAAGGAUCAGUAUUUUCUCAUGUAAAACGUUCUGGAAAUACCUGUUCAAGGCUGAAGCACUACGAACAACACUCUUUUGGCUUGUUGACAUCUGGUAACUAUGUGAUCCUCAAAGUCUCAGAGGAUCUAUGGGAAACAAUCCCACAAACUGCAAACAAUCCCCUUAUCUGUUCAAGUGCCUUCCAGGGGCAGCCUGUCACUCGACACAUCCAUCCUUCACAGCUGCUCCCACUGUCAAUCAAAUCCUCUCCUGGACCCCAUUUCACUCUAUUUCAUUUUGAGGGUUUUCUCAGAACUCUUCCUAUUUUUAAGCCCAUAUAUUCCACUGAGAACAACUACAAAACCUUCCCAGGAAAGAGCUGCUCUUGCCUGUUCUUACAGAGCUCCCUGUGUCUUCACCUCUCACAGACACACCGUAUUUCCCUUUUGGAUGAGGGUGGCAAUGCUCUGAUUCUCUCCGGGUCCUUGUUCCACCUCACUCUGCAUACCAACCUCAAGCCGUUUAAAUUUUUUUCGGAAAGAGAUCUGAUUUCGCUUCAAAUGUUUUCUCCAAUCAUUAAAAAAAAAAAAAAAAAAACAAAAAAAACCCAACAACCCCCCCCCCAAACAACCCAACUGUAAAAUUCACAGAUCAUAAAAACAGGUUUCUAUUUCUAUGUAGAUCAUUUCAUAGACUGGAGAUAAUCCAUCUUGGUACUGACAGAAAUGGAAGUACUUAAAUAAUUGAAUCACUGCAUUUAUAGUUCUCUUCUUAAUGACAUUCAAAGUAGAGACAAUCAAAUACUCUCUGCCUGGAGCUUUCUUAGCUUUCCCCUUUGAGUCCUCUGCGCCUGGCUUACUUCAGCCUGGGCUGCUCACAGCAGGGAGGGGGUCUCUCCACUGCGGGCCCUGGGGCGCUGCAGAGGCUCUGUGAGCACUGCUCCUUCUCCGUAACUGACACCUGAUGGUAGAGCCAGCUUAGCCUCUUCACACUCUGUAACUAACAGGGGCAUCUCUCUAAUCUAAAAGCAAACAUUGUUUGCACAUUAGCAACAGGAUACAAUAGCAAAAGCUGAGCAUCAGCAUAUGGUUUGUUUUAUAUUAUAUACAAAAAAGUCCAGUUACAGGCAAGUUAAAAAGAGGGUACCCUGCUCUAUUUGCUUAUAUAGUCUCCCUCCUUUAACCUUACUUUACUGAACUAGAUAUGUGUGUGUGUGUGUGUGUGUGUGUGUGA